CCUACGGGUGGCUGCAGUGAGGAAUAUUGGUCAAUGGGCGCAAGCCUGAACCAGCCAAGUCGCGUGAGGGAUGACGGUCCUAUGGAUUGUAAACCUCUUUUGUCGGGGAGCCAGGCCCGCCACGUGUGGCGGGAAGGAGAGUACCCGACGAAAAAGCAUCGGCUAACUCCGUGCCAGACGACGCGGUAAUACGGAGGAUGCGAGCGUGAUCCCGAGUUGGUGGGUUUAAGGGGUGCGCCGGCGGAAGGUUAAGUCAGCGGUAAAAUGUAGGGGCUCAACACCGGCCUGCCGUUGAAACUGGUCUUCUUGAGUGAGCGAGAAGUAUGCGGAAGGCGUGGUGUAGCGGUGAAAUGCAUAGAUAUCACGCAGAACUCCGAUUGCGAAGGCAGCAUACCGGCGCUCAACUGACGCUGAGGCACGAAAGCGUGGGGAUCGAACAGGAUUAGAUACCCGGGUAGUC
rnacentral:rRNA from 1 species